rnacentral:rRNA from 1 species
AACGGGUGAGGAAUACAUGGGUAACCUACCCUCGAGUGGGGAAUAACUAGCCGAAAGGUUAGCUAAUACCGCAUACGACUCUCGGUCUGCGGAUCGAGAGGGAAAGCGAUACCGUGGGUAUCGCGCUCUUGGAUGGGCUCAUGUCCUAUCAGCUUGUUGGUGAGGUAACGGCUCACCAAGGCUUCGACGGGUAGCUGGUCUGAGAGGACGAUCAGCCACACUGGCACUGCGACACGGGCCAGACUCCUACGGGAGGCAGCAGUAAGGAAUAUUGCGCAAUGGGCGACAGCCUGACGCAGCGACGCCGCGUGGGGGAUGAAGGUCUUCGGAUUGUAAACCCCUUUCGGCAGGGAAGAUGGAACGGGUAACCGUUCGGACGGUACCUGCAGAAGCAGCCACGGCUAACUUCGUGCCAGCAGCCGCGGUAAUACGAAGGUGGCAAGCGUUGUUCGGAUUUACUGGGCGUACAGGGAGCGUAGGCGGUUGGGUAAGCCCUCCGUGAAAUCUCCGGGCCUAACCCGGAAAGUGCGGAGGGGACUGCUCGGCUAGAGGAUGGGAGAGGAGCGCGGAAUUCCCGGUGUAGCGGUGAAAUGCGUAGAGAUCGGGAGGAAGGCCGGUGGCGAAGGCGGCGCUCUGGAACAUUUCUGACGCUGAGGCUCGAAAGCGUGGGGAGCAAACAGGAUUAGAUACCCUGGUAGUCCACGCCUUAAACUAUGGAUACUAAGUGUCGGCGGGUUACCGCCGGUGCCGCAGCUAACGCAGUAAGUAUCCCGCCUGGGAAGUACGGCCGCAAGGUUGAAACUCAAGGAAUUGACGGGGGCCCGCACAAGCGGUG